CGAGCGGCGAACGGGUGAGUAACACGUGAGCAACCUACCCUCAACUUCGGGAUAAGCCUCGGAAACGGGGUCUAAUACCGGAUAUCACUCCUUACUUCAUGGUUUGGGGUUGAAAGUUCUGGCGGUUGGGGAUGGGCUCGCGGCCUAUCAGCUUGUUGGUGGGGUAAUGGCCUACCAAGGCGUCGACGGGUAGCCGGCCUGAGAGGGCGACCGGCCACACUGGGACUGAGACACGGCCCAGACUCCUACGGGAGGCAGCAGUGGGGAAUAUUGCGCAAUGGGCGAAAGCCUGACGCAGCAACGCCGCGUGAGGGAUGACGGCCUUCGGGUUGUAAACCUCUUUCAGCAGGGACGAAGCGAGAGUGACGGUACCUGCAGAAGAAGGACCGGCCAACUACGUGCCAGCAGCCGCGGUAAUACGUAGGGUCCGAGCGUUGUCCGGAAUUAUUGGGCGUAAAGGGCUCGUAGGCGGUUCGUCACGUCGGGAGUGAAAACUCGGAGCUUAACUCCGAGCCUGCUUCCGAUACGGGCAGACUAGAGGUAGGCAGGGGAGAGCGGAACUCCUGGUGUAGCGGUGGAAUGCGCAGAUAUCAGGAAGAACACCGGUGGCGAAGGCGGCUCUCUGGGCCUUACCUGACGCUGAGGAGCGAAAGCGUGGGUAGCGAACAGGAUUAGAUACCCUGGUAGUCCACGCCGUAAACGUUGGGCGCUAGGUGUGGGGGACAUUCCACGUCCUCCGUGCCGCAGCUAACGCAUUAAGCGCCCCGCCUGGGGAGUACGGCCGCAAGGCUAAAACUCAAAGGAAUUGACGGGGGCCCGCACAAGCGGCGGAGCAUGCGGAUUAAUUCGAUGCAACGCGAAGAACCUUACCUGGGUUUGACAUAUAGGGAAAUCUCACAGAGAUGUGAGGUCCGUAAGGGUCCUAUACAGGUGGUGCAUGGCUGUCGUCAGCUCGUGUCGUGAGAUGUUGGGUUAAGUCCCGCAACGAGCGCAACCCUCGUCCUAUGUUGCCAGCACGUUAUGGUGGGGACUCAUAGGAGACUGCCGGGGUCAACUCGGAGGAAGGUGGGGAUGACGUCAAGUCAUCAUGCCCCUUAUGUCCAGGGCUUCACGCAUGCUACAAUGGCCGGUACAAAGGGCUGCGAAACCGCAAGGUGGAGCGAAUCCCAAAAAGCCGGUCUCAGUUCGGAUUGGGGUCUGCAACUCGACCCCAUGAAGUCGGAGUCGCUAGUAAUCGCAGAUCAGCAACGCUGCGGUGAAUACGUUCCCGGGCCUUGUACACACCGCCCGUCACGUCAUGAAAGUCGGCAACACCCGAA
rnacentral:rRNA from 1 species